rnacentral:rRNA from 1 species
AAACGCUCAUUCCAGUACGAAAGGACCGAAAAAGCAAAGCCAAUACUACAAGCACGCUUUAGUAAAAAAAAUAAAUCAAUUCAAUAUUGAAAACCAAUACCAAACCAAGCCCAGAAAAGGCUAAUUAAGGACCAACCACAACCUUAAUAG